GGCGAACGGGUGAGUAACACGUGAGUAACCUGCCCUUGAAUUCGGGAUAACUCCGGGAAACCGGGGCUAAUCCCGGAUAUGAGCGGUCCUCGCAUGGGGGUGGUUGGAAAGUUUUUCGGUCAGGGAUGGGCUCGCGGCCUAUCAGCUUGUUGGUCGGGUGAUGGCUCACCAAGGCGACGACGGGUAGCCGGCCUGUGAGGGCGACCGGCCACACUGGGACUGAGACACGGCCCAGACUCUACGGGAGGCAGCAGUGGGGAAUAUUGCACAAUGGGCGCAAGCCUGAUGCAGCGACGCCGGGUAAGGGAUGAAGGCCUUCGGGUUGUAAACCUCUUUCAGCAGGGAAGAAGCGCNNGUGACGGUACCUGCAGAAGAAGCGCCGGCUAUCUACGUGCCAGCAGCCGCGGUAAUACGUAGGGCGCAAGCGUUGUCCGGAAUUAUUGGGCGUAAAGAGCUCGUAGGCGAUCUGUCGCGUCUGGUGUGAAACCCAUGGCUCAACCAUGGGCUUGCAUCGGGUAACGGGCAGACUAGAGUGCGGUGGGGAGACUGGAAUUCCUGGUGUAGCGGUGGAAUGCGCAGAUAUCACGGAGGAACACCGAUGGCGUAGGCAGGUCU
rnacentral:rRNA from 1 species